AUGGGCAGCCGUGUCGGCGGCGUAAUAGGUGGGCUCGCUGGUUACGCCGUAGGGAGCUCCGUUGGCAACGGAGCGCCAGAUUACCGCGGCUAUAACCCCAUGGGAGACUAUGGUGGCGGCGGCUCUCCCGGCCCUGGAGCUGGAGGGUUUGGCGGCCGCUAACCUUCGAUAAUGACAGAACGGAAACGCGGCGAGGUUUUUGCUUUGCCGCGUUUUAGC
rnacentral:sRNA from 1 species